rnacentral:lncRNA from 1 species
ACUGCUUUAGCUACCUUAGCGCUGAAGGCAAAUCAUUUGUAUAAAUCAUUUCAACUCUGGUCAUCUGUGCUUUGUGUCAGCUACUGCGUACCCUUCUCUAGACAGGCCUUUGGAAUAGCGACUCUCUCUAAUUCCAUGCUCUGCAAAGUGGUUGUGCUGUCUAGGAAUUACAACCUCGGCAUCAUUUUAGCCAGAACCACCAGCGCUUCCGCGGGGUUUCAAUUUGCUACUUGUCUCUAGAGACUUUGCUUCCUGGAGAUCAUUGGAGGCAUAUAGUUCCAUAGUGUCAGGACUGUAAUGAUAAUAUUGGCACAUGUGGGAAGAAAGGGCUUAGAAGAUGUUUAAAGGAGAAGGCAUACACCAACUUAUAUGUGGAACAUAGGAAGGCGCCUUAUCUAAAGUCAGAUCUUUGUUCCAUCUGACUGGAAGCAACUCUCCAGCAUUUCAGGCAGGAGUCUUUUUUGAGCUGUACCUGAAAAAGUCCGGGAUUUACAUGUGCUCUGUCACUGAGCUGCAGCCACCCCCCAGGUCCAUAUACAGGGCCAGCCCACCCAUGAGGCAUUGUGAAGGGAUUAAUUCACAUUGCUUGUUUGCUUCACCAUUCCAUAUAGCAAAGAUGCAUUUAGACAAGUCAAGUGACCAAGGUUAUAACAUUCCUAGUCAAAUGACAUUCUGGUGUUUGCUAUGUGACCCCUUUGUUCGAUAGCCUUUCUGUUUGCUUCCUUCUUCUGUUCCCUUCAGUUUGUAGAUUGUGGACCUUUGGUAGGAUAGCAUCUGUGUAAAUUGCCCUAGUGCUAUCAGUGUUGCUGUGAGGCUUAAGUGUAGCACAGCACUGCCACUUUGGUUUACAAAUUUAAUAAAUAAUAAUAAUGUUCCUGAUGCUCCUAUUCAAGGUAUUGACCACAAUCCUGUAAAUAAGGCCACACAUCCACAUUCUAUGACAUUGUUCUGGGUGGAAACAUUUCAUUGCAUGCGCUAUUGGUUAGCGAAGUGAAAGCUGCUUACUGAAAACUUUUGACACUCGCAAGCAUUUUGCAAAGGAAGCUGUGAGGAGACCGAUUGUCACAGAUCUAACAUCUGCUUGUAACAUUCCACCUUUGCUUUCAGAACAGUUUAAUCUUAGACUCUCCUGUGUAGAUACUAACAAUCCAGAGAGCAAACCAUUUUUCAUGGAGAAACAGCUGCGAAUGCAGAAGCAUCAGCUAAUAGUGGCCUGAACUUUGUUUGUUAAUUUCUAUUGUACACAGAGGAGAAACUGCUUUACAGGUCUUUGUAAGCUACGCCUAUUUUACUGGACAUACAUUUGGCCUUUCAAAUUGUACCCCAUAACAUUCUUUUUGCAUUGCACUCAAGAACAAGCAACUACCAUCAAUAAUGGGAGUGAAAUUCAAUAAGUUCAGAACCCAGUUACUUAUUUUGUCUGUAUCUUCACUGUUUUCCAAAGUUGGCCAAACCCCACUUCCUCCCAUCCCACUUUGAACUCUCAUACUUUCACUUUCUGUGGAUGCUUCCUAAACUUUCCAGCGUUUGUUCAAGAUGUCAUCCUUGAUCAUUAAAUCAUUUGGAUGUUUUAAAACUAAUGUAUUUAUUACAUUUCUCUUUUCUAUCUAAGAGGAGAAAUACAUGGGCUUUGCAAGUCUGUGAGGCACAUUAGACUGAGAGACAGUGACUUCUCUAAUGCAAACUAUUAACCAGUAAGGAUGACUUGAGAUUUGAACAUGACUUUUUUACAUUCAUACCCUAUAUUCCAAUGCCUCAAAAUAGUUUUCUGAAGCUGGAUUCAAUAGCCAAUUUUGCUACUCUUGUUUUUAUUUCAAUUUACACACUACUGUGACUGAACAAUAGUGAAUACUAGUUUAUACUUCUCUGAACAUGAACAUGAACAUGAAAAGAUUCCUUGGGAGACUGUUGGUCCUUACUGAUUAUAUUUUUUAAACCACAAAAAGUUUCUUAAAGUCACACAUUCAGAGGCAAUUCACAAAGCCAUGGGAAGCCACAUAAAAUGGAGAGCAGUCUGUUCCUUUCAAUGGAAAUUAGCUCAUCAUGGCCAACAUGUCAUCAGCUGACAGCCAAAGCCCUGCUGGGAAGCAGAAGCCCUUUGGAUUGCCUCAGUAACUGCUAAGGUCUUCUGAAUGAUGAUUGUUGUGCUUCAAUAUAACCUCACAAUUAGCUGUAGUGCUAAGCUUUCACACAACACACUUGGGAAGCAGGCUAAUUGACCUGCUGAAGGAAGGGAGUUACCCUCAUCCUUGGGGGUGGGGUACUAGGCUCCAGACCGAAUAUGCAGUCUCAGCCACCUGUGGGGAACCUUGAGGGUGGUGGAGAUCAUGGCCACCUGUGGGCUGCUCUGCUGUAUAAAAAGCAUUUGUUCCGGUGCCUGGAACAAGCCAUCUCCUUGUUGUGGAGUCUGUCCCACAGACUGCUGGAAGCAGGGGCAAGGAGGGAGCCUUCAGACCUUGUGUUGUGAGUUUGCUUUUCCUUUAAAUAAACUACUAAGACCUGAUCAGCCUGUUAGUGUGGGAAGCCUGAGUAUCCAGACCCCUGUGAGCCCUCCCCUGGCUCUCCGGAUACAACACCUCCCCUUUCUGCAAUGAAUUUGUGCCUACUUCUUAGGUAACAUUGUUGAUCCCCUGGUGCUUGCUAUUUUUAAGUACUCAAAUAUUGAAAGGUCAGCUUUGUCUUGUACCAUUUGAUUGGAUGAUUUGGUGUCAUAUAUUGAAGUGGAUAAUGUUUUGAGGGCAUGAGCAUGACCAUGCCAUGUGUCUGUUCAAACUGUAGAGUAGAGGUUGUAUCCUUUGCUGGUUUGAUAUCUCAGCAUUAAACUAUUAGUAGCAGUGCCUCAUUUAGAAAAUACAGAAUUCUAAGAAAGCAAAUAGUCCGGGCUUUUUGCAUACAUAGCAUACAUUUAAAGCACAUCGCCCCAGUUCCCAGGCUUCUUGGGGUGGGUGGGUGUGCUAUAAACGUAUGCAAGUAGAGGCCAGUGGGGUGUGGGCAGGGCUGUGUCACUACCCUGGCUUCCCAGUGCCAUGCGCCACUGCUGGCUACCAAAAGGGCAAGAGCAAGGAGGUGGUGAAUCACAGGUGGGAGCAUUGGAUUGGCUCUGCCAGUGUGCCAUGCUGAAGUCCCCGCUGCUUCCCUCUCAGUAACUGGCAGCAGUGCCCAGCAUUGGGUGCAGGGAUACAGCCACACCGGCUGCUACUGUGUGUACACAGCCCAAGAACAAAAUCACACCCAAGUGUGGUGCUAUAAGCACAAGGGGUUAAGUGGGUAUUGCUGUGAGCAGAUCUGCCACCCAACAAGCCAUGAGUUUCCAAUCUGUUUUGAGGGAGGGGAGGUUUUUGAGUAAGUGGGAACCCCCCCCCCCAAUAUUAGCCAUAUCUGAGUACAGUACACAGCUCUGGACACAUUAUUUUUAAAUCUGAGCACUCUACUGGCACUGCGUUCAUAACUUUUAUCUAUGACCACACCAUGGAGAUCAUUAAGGAGAAUUGCUCCAUGUUGGCCUGGAUAGAUUGUUCUGCAGCUUUCAAAUAUCUGGAGUGUUUGGCGAUUUCACAGUCGCUUCUAAGCAAACUCUGGAGUAACUUUGCUCAACCAGGAAGGUUUCAAAUGGUAUAGAUUUUUUAAUUUUAAUUUUCAUUGAGUUUUAUGCAUAACC